rnacentral:rRNA from 1 species
UACGGCGGGGGCAAGCGUUGUUCGGAUUUACUGGGCGUAAAGGGCGCGUAGGCGGCUUUGUAAGUUACUUGUGAAAUCUCCGGGCUUAACUCGGAGCGGGCAAGUGAUACUGCAGAGCUAGAGUGCAGAAGAGGCAACUGGAAUUCUUGGUGUAGCGGUGAAAUGCGUAGAUAUCAAGAGGAACACCUGAGGCGAAGGCGGGUCGCUGGGCUGACACUGACGCUGAGGUGCGAAAGCUAGGGGAGCAAACAGG